rnacentral:rRNA from 1 species
CCAGACUCCUACGGGAGGCAGCAGUGGGGAAUCUUCCGCAAUGGACGAAAGUCUGACGGAGCAACGCCGCGUGAGUGAUGACGGCCUUCGGGUUGUAAAGCUCUGUUAAUCGGGACGAAAGGCCUUCUUGCGAAUAGUGAGAAGGAUUGACGGUACCGGAAUAGAAAGCCACGGCUAACUACGUGCCAGCAGCCGCGGUAAUACGUAGGUGGCAAGCGUUGUCCGGAAUUAUUGGGCGUAAAGCGCGCGCAGGCGGAUAGGUCAGUCUGUCUUAAAAGUUCGGGGCUUAACCCCGUGAUGGGAUGGAAACUGCCAAUCUAGAGUAUCGGAGAGGAAAGUGGAAUUCCUAGUGUAGCGGUGAAAUGCGUAGAUAUUAGGAAGAACACCAGUGGCGAAGGCGACUUUCUGGACGAAAACUGACGCUGAGGCGCGAAAGCCAGGGGAGCGAACGGGAUUAGAUACCCCGGUAGUCCUGGCCGUAAACGAUGGGUACUAGGUGUAGGAGGUAUCGACCCCUUCUGUGCCGGAGUUAACGCAAUAAGUACCCCGCCUGGGGGAGUACGACCGCAAGGUUGAAACUCAAAGGAAUUGACGGGGGCCCCGCACAAG